rnacentral:rRNA from 1 species
GCUGGUCUGAGAGGAUGAUCAGCCACACUGGAACUGAGACACGGUCCAGACUCCUACGGGAGGCAGCAGUGGGGAAUAUUGCACAAUGGGCGAAAGCCUGAUGCAGCCAUGCCGCGUGUAUGAAGAAGGCCUUCGGGUUGUAAAGUACUUUCAGUUGUGAGGAAGGGGGUGUCGUUAAUAGCGGCAUCUCUUGACGUUAGCAACAGAAGAAGCACCGGCUAACUCCGUGCCAGCAGCCGCGGUAAUACGGAGGGUGCGAGCGUUAAUCGGAAUUACUGGGCGUAAAGCGCAUGCAGGUGGUUCAUUAAGUCAGAUGUGAAAGCCCGGGGCUCAACCUCGGAACUGCAUUUGAAACUGGUGAACUAGAGUACUGUAGAGGGGGGUAGAAUUUCAGGUGUAGCGGUGAAAUGCGUAGAGAUCUGAAGGAAUACCAGUGGCGAAGGCGGCCCCCUGGACAGAUACUGACACUCAGAUGCGAAA